GAUGAACGCUGGCGGCGUGCCUAAUACAUGCAAGUCGAACGAACAGACGAGGAGCUUGCUCCUUCGACGUUAGCGGCGGACGGGUGAGUAACACGUAGGUAACCUACCUAUAAGACUGGGAUAACUUCGGGAAACCGGAGCUAAUACCGGAUAAUAUUUCGAACCGCAUGGUUCGAUAGUGAAAGAUGGCUUUGCUAUCACUUAUAGAUGGACCUGCGCCGUAUUAGCUAGUUGGUAAGGUAACGGCUUACCAAGGCAACGAUACGUAGCCGACCUGAGAGGGUGAUCGGCCACACUGGAACUGAGACACGGUCCAGACUCCUACGGGAGGCAGCAGUAGGGAAUCUUCCGCAAUGGGCGAAAGCCUGACGGAGCAACGCCGCGUGAGUGAUGAAGGUCUUCGGAUCGUAAAACUCUGUUAUUAGGGAAGAACAAACGUGUAAGUAACUGUGCACGUCUUGACGGUACCUAAUCAGAAAGCCACGGCUAACUACGUG
rnacentral:rRNA from 1 species